rnacentral:lncRNA from 1 species
CCCUCCAACGUUUUGGACUUGCUGACGUAGUAUACGAUGGUCGUGGAGACGCCCAACUGCUUAGAGUGCACGAAUGGAAAUUCGUUGAUGACGUUCGAUGGUCAAUUUCUUGACUUUAACUAUAACGAAAUAUGGUUUAACUUCAAUCACUCAACCUUCAUUGAUGAUUGAAUUAGCAAGUGUUAAGAUUACAAUGUACCACCCGGUAAUUCUUAAGUCAACGGAUCUUUUAGUUCUUCAUGUUAUAAGUUGUGCUUUUUUUGUGGGCUUAGAGAAGCUCCUGAAAUUGUUUAUAAUGAUGAAAAGAAAGGUAUUAUUCACAAAGUUAAUAUGAGUUCAGAAUCUUUUGAAAUUGUGAAGAAUGAAUUGACGUGUAAAGUAUACAUACAUCUUGGAUGCAUUGUAAAGAAUGAAAAAAAUCCCUCAGAAAAUUUAUAUGUUAUAAAUGGAUGAAUCCUUCGUCAAAUGAGGAUUAUGCCCACUUGAGAUGGGAACAAGACUGCACUUUUUGAAAAAAAUCGAAAGGAGAAAAACUGUGUUUGGGAUAGAUGCUUCGGUUCAAGUUGCAGUGAAAGCCCUGGAGAGCCCUCUACUCGAUCAUUAACAAUUUUGGAUAAAAUAUAGGAUAGUUACCAACACUUUGUCUCUGGGUAGUUUGUAUGGGAAAACUAAUGAAGAAAUAAUUUGUCUUCUUUUGUAAGGCAUCAAGGGAAACGCUAAGGCAUUUUUUAUUUGAAUUUGAGCAUAUGGCAAAUGUUUGAGGUCACUUAAA